GGACUGAGAUACGGCCCAGACUCCUACGGGGGGCAGCAAUUAGGAAUCUUGCGCAAUGGGCGAAAGCCUGACGCAGCGACGCCGCGUGACUGAUGAAGUCUUUCGGGAUGUAAAGGUCUUUUCUGAAGGAAGAACACAAUGACGGUACUUCAGGAAUAAGCCCCGGCUAACUACGUGCCAGCAGCCGCGGUAAUACGUAGGGGGCGAGCGUUGUCCGAAUUCACUGGGCGUAAAGCGCGCGUAGGCGGACUAUUAAGUUGAUGGUGAAAUCCCGGGGCUCAACCUCGGAACUGCCUUCAAAACUGGUAGUCUUGAGGUUUGGAGAGGGAAUUGGAAUUCCAGGUGUAGCGGUGAAAUGCGUAGAUAUCUGGAGGAACACCCAUGGCGAAGGCAGAUUCCUGGCCAUAUCCUGACGCUGAGGUGCGAAAGCUAGGGUAGCGAACGGGAUUAGAUACCCCGGUAGUCCUAGCCGUAAACGAUGGAUACUAGGUGUUAGAGGUAUCGACCCCUCUAGUGCCGAAGCUAACGCAUUAAGUAUCCCGCCUGGGGAGUACGACCGCAAGGUUGAAACUCAAAGGAAUUGACGGGGGCCCGCACAAGCGGUGGAGCAUGUGGUUUAAUACGUCACUAACCGUAGAACCUCACCCAGGUUUGACAUCCACUGUAAGUCCAUGAAAGUGGUACCCCUGUAUGGAAACAUACAGCAGUGAGACAGGUGUUGCAUGGCUGUCGUCAGCUCGUGUCGUGAGAUGUUGGGUUAAGUCCCGCAACGAGCGCAACCCUCAUCCGAUGUUGCCAGCGUAAAGUCGGGGACUCUUCGGAAACUGCCCGUGCAAGCGGGAGGAAGGUGGGGAUGACGUCAAGUCAGCAUGGCCCUUACAUCUGGGGCUACACACAUGCUACAAUGGGCGUUAACAAAGGGCAGCAAGACCGCGAGGUCAAGCUAAUCUCAUAAAUACGUCCUCAGUUCGGAUUGCGGUCUGCAACUCGACUGCAUGAAGUCGGAAUCGCUAGUAACCGCAGGUCAGCUAUACUGCGGUGAAUACGUUCCCGGGCCUUGUACACACCGCCCGUCACGCCACCUGAAUUGUCUGCACCCGAAGCCGGUGGCCUAACCCGUAAGGGAAGGAGCCGUCGAAGGUGUGGGGAGUGAGGGGGACGAAGUCGGAACAUGGUAGCCGUAUCGGAAGGUGCGGCUG
rnacentral:rRNA from 1 species